GAGCGCGGAGGUGACGGCGCCAGAGAAGAAGGUUGAGCGCGGAGGUGACGGCGCCGGAGAAGAAGGUAGAGCGCGAAGGGACUGAACCGGAAGCCAUGGUUUGGGUUCAGAUGGGUUUGCUGGGAUCGAAUUCGAAGAGAGGGAGGCUACAGGAGGGAGGAACGAAUUCAAAGAGAGGGAGGCUACGGGAGAGAGAGGAAGGGUAGACAGGGGAAUUAAUGAAAAAGAUGAGGGGUAUUGUUGUCCAAAAAAUUAUAAAUUUGUGUUCCAUGGGAUGGAACAACCCGUUCCAGGGGGGUAUGUGGAACCAAAAUUUAACCCAUUUUCGUUCCGUGGGACAGGCGUUCCACACAAUUUAAGCACACCAAACGUGGGACGGAACGCAUCCGUCCCACUCUGUUCCGUCCCGUCCCACGUACCAAACGCACCCUCUGUGAACAUCUCUAUUUAUUAAAGAUAAAAUGACAAAAACAUCCUCAAUUAUUGUCAAAUUAUUUUGGCCAAUUGUUUAUUAAAUUAAGGGUAUUUUUGUCAUUUUUGUCCUUGUUUAAUAUAGAUUUUCAAGCAAUGACCAAAAUGAUUUACGGUGGACAAACUCAGGAACCACUUCUAUCGAUUUCAAAUCUUCGAGACUAAAGUAAGGAGUUAUAACAAUCUCAAAUACCAGUUUGGCUAAAAUGCCUUUUUUCCAUUAGUUAGGAUUUGUGCUUUCAAUUACUCUAUUUCACAAUAAUUUAUGUUGUGUUUUGAUAAAUUUAAACUAGCAGAUGCCCACACACAUUGUGUGUUAACAAUUUCAUUUCAUUUUGUUUUUUAUUAUGAAGUGGGAUAAGUUUUUAAAAUUCUAAAAAAAAAUCAGUUAUGAGAAUUAGGAUAAUGAUGUUCUUCUAACGUGGGAAUAGCUUUUAUUUUAUUUUUAGUUUUUAAAUACGGCAUGUUAUACUAACUUGACUAUGAGGUUGCUGUAAAAACAGCAAAAUUUAUGUUCAUGUAAUUACUAAAUUGCCUGUAUUUUUUACUUGAUUUCAGUUUGGUGAGGGGGUUAAAAUGAUAAUUUCUUGAAGUUUUGGUUGACAAACUGGGUUUUAUUAAUAGGUAGUGUAGAUUAAGAUAAGUUAUUUUAUACUUAAAGAAACUAAUAAGUUUCACAUUAAAAUCGGUUAUUUUAUACUUAAACAACAAUGUAUUAUAUUGCUACAAAGGAUGUUAAUAAAAGUGUUUUUACUAGAACUGCUUCUAAUCAUGUUUUUUAAGACACAAUUUCAAACAAGCCCGUUAUAUCUAUUUAUAACCAUCUGAGUUUAAAUGAGUAAAAAUGCCACAAAACCGAGUUUAAAAGAAAAUUGACAAGGCAUGUACCAAAAAUAAAAAAUAUAUAUUUGGGUUUAAUGGGCUUCGAAGAAAGAAAUGACUUGGCAUUACUACGAGUGGUACUCAAGUUUCGUCUAUAGACUAGACACCCAUUAAUUUUAUUUAAAAGUACAAUGACUCUUAUACUCGUGUAUAAAAAAACUACCAAAAUGAGCUUAAUGAUUUCUUAAAGAAAACAAUUAUUUUCUUUGGACAAUGUAGUCACCAAACGACUGAUGAAUUUCACGACUGUUGAAUUUUACUUUAUCGUGCUUAUUUAAUUCACGUUGUCAUGCUUCUCUGAAAGUGUACUCAAAUAGCACGAUGAAAAACAUAGCGACAAUCUUGAAAACAACAACGUAAGUUUUUUGCAUUUACUUAUUCUAUUCUUAAGUUCAUAUUCUUUGUGAUGAUGUUGGAUACACCAUAGUUUGUAAGAACCUUGUUGGAUUAAUACCCCAAAUCCAGAUGGUAUGCUCUGCAAUCAAAUUGACAUUUUUUUUAAAGGAAUCAAAUAAAGAAACAAAUUUCAAAUCGAGUCUUCUUAGAAGUUUAGUAAAUUAUUUUGAGUGUCUAAAGAAAUGUGUGAAAGUAAAUUGAGUUUCCAAAGAAAGAAAAAAAGUUGUCCAAAGACAAAACUUGAGUGUACGGAGAACCACUCCAAUACUUUACCCAAAAACAAAUGAGGUGGGAUCUGAGAUGGGUUGCAAUACCGAACAGGAUGAGGCAAUUGGGCUUUUUGAUAUAUUUAGAAGGAUUUAGCUACCAACCCGACUUCUAACCUUGUUUGCUUUGGAAAAUGGUUUUCACACUUCCUUUGUACACAGUACACUAUUGUUUUUGUUUAUCUUUGUCUUCGAUUUUUUUUUUUUUUCAUUUAAAUGUCAAGGAUAAACAAAGUUGUGUAAUGGGAGAAAAAAGUAAACAUGAAUUAGUUUUUUACUUUGUGUUGUUCGUUCUCCUUUUGUAUUUACAUAUGCAUAUCACAGUUACAAAAUAAAAUAAAAUACGAUAAAACUUAUAUAUAUAUAUAUAUAUAUAUAAGUGAAAGAGGAUGGAAAACUAAUACCAAAAUAAUUAUUUGAAAUUUAUAUAUUGAUCUUAAUGGUAAUAUUAUUAUCGAGAUUUUAUUUGGAAGAGAAUUGUUUAUUUGUUAAUACAGAUCAAUAUGAUUCUGUGUUGUCAAUAGUAUUUGUGUGUCAUGUGUGUUUUUCUUAUAAAGUAAUGUUUAUGCAACGAUUUGUCAAUAUGCAAUGAUAUUUAUCAAUAACUGAUUGUGUGUUGUCAAUACACGCAUAAUAUAUUUGAUGGUGUAUUUUUCUUAUACAAUAUUUAUACUAGGGUAAAUUGCCAAAAUGGUCCCUGAGAUUCCAAAUCGAUAAAAGUGGUCCCUAAGAUUGUCCACCAUCCAUCAUUUUGGUCAUUCUAUUAAAAAUUCUGUUAAGUGUCCGGAGCUCUUGGCCCGAAGUUUGAGCAAUUUUCAAAGCUUCGUAACUCAAUCGUUUCUUAACCAAAUUCGACCCAUAAUAUAUCAAAAUUAAGAUAGGAAAGUGUAGAAUAAGAUUAUACCUAUUUCAAAGCCCAAUGGUUACCGGAGAUUACUGGAAAAUAGCCUCAAAAUUGACUGGUCCGAGUGAAAACUUGAAAACUCGCUGGAAACUGGGUAAACGUUAAACGUUCAUAACUUCUUCAUUACUCAACGAAAUCAAGUGAUUUAAAAACUAAAAUCAUACUUCACGAUGAGACGAAGAGAAUGGUACCUUUUUAGAUGGAUAAAUCUCCGUGGUUUGGCCGGAAAACGGCUCGAAAUUGGCUAACUCGAGACCAAGACAUCCACUUUUGAGCCGUUUUUCGGCCAAACCAAGGCGAGUUAGCCAUCGAAAAAGGUACCAUUCUCUUCGUCUCGUUGAGAAGUAUGAUUUUCGUUUUUGAAUCACUUGAUUUCGUUGAGUAUUGAAGAAGUUAUGAACGUUUAAAGUUUACCUAUUUUCCGGCGAGUUUUCAAGUUUUCACUCGGACCAGUCAACUUUGAGGCUAUUUUCUGGUAAUCUCUGGCAAACAUUGGGCUUUGAAAUAGGUAUAAUAUUAUUCUACACUUUCCUAUCUUCAUAUUGAUAUAUUAUGGGUCGAAUUUGGUUAAUAAACGAUUGAGUUAUGAAGCUUUGAAAAUUGCCUAAAUUUCCGGCCAAGAGCUCCAAGAAACUUAACGGAGUUUUUAACGGAAUGACCAAAAUGAUGGAUGGUGCACAAUCUCAAGGACCACUUUUAUCGAUUUGGAAUCUCAGGGACCAAUGUGAUGAGUUAUGCAAAUCUCAGGGACUAUUUUGGCGAUUUACCCUUUAUACUAAGGUGUAGGGAUUUUGCAUGUAGUCCAAUAUCUUUGUGGAUAGGAUGUUGAGUUUCCACUCAUGCGUCAUGGAUUUGAAACUCUCUCUUUCCUAACUUAUUGUAAUGGUUUCGAACCCUCCCCCUCCCCUUAAAGAAAAAGAAAAAAGAAAAAGAAAAACUAAGGUGUAGGAAGUUUGGGUUAAGCAUACAACGUACAAAGUCAUUUUAGUGAACUCAUUAUGACUAUGUAUGAGAAUUAAGCUUAAGACCUACCAGUUACAAGUAGAGAAAAACAUUACAACAAGUAAUAUAUUUUUGUAUUUUUAAUCACCAUAAAAAUUUAAAGACGACCUAAUUCUUUAAUGCUCACAAAUUUUGAGUGAUGACUCAAGUUUUGAACCACAAAAUUAAUGAACAAGCAUAUAUAUAUAUUUAACCUUUUGGGUUACAAAUUAUAGAACAUAGCAGUUGUAGUGUCCGUUAACAAUAAGCAAACAUUUGUUGGCCUAACUAUUUUGAAAGAUUUUAUGCUCUAUUCACAAUGAAUGUAUGGAUUAAGUUAAACCAUUCCUAAACCACAAUUAUCAACCAUCGUACGUACUCUCUUUCUUAUCCUACUUAAGUUGCCAAAUAAAUACAUGAUAUAUAUCGAUAAGGCAGUAGUUAAAUACCUAAUUUAAUUAAUAUCUUUAGCUCCAUACCAUGAUGUGUGGUCAAGAAGAUUAAACUCAAAGAUAACCAUUUUAGUACGUUUUCUAAAACUAUUUACUGAUGAUUUGUAGCCAAAUACACAAUACACUUGGCAGCCGUAUGUGGGAUGGAUGACAAAAUGUACAAACCAAAAACACCCUGAGUUGAAAAAUCUUUUGCACUAAUUUAUGACAUUAUAUUAGUGAUUUUGCAUGCCUUCCCAAUAAAUUAUGGUUAAAACCAUUUCACGUCGGAAUAGACCAUUGAGGUUAUGAACACAAGUUAUGUAGUAUUUAAGGGGUGUGAUAUCCACAUACCCCUUUUUACUUCUCCCACACUCUUUUGAUUUUCGGCCGUUGGAUCGGAUGAAUUGAAGAAAAUCAACAGACAAAAAUUAACAAGGGGUGUGUGAGAAGUAAAAACGGAUGUGUGGAUAGCACACCCUUACCCUAUAUUAAUUUACGUGUUCUAAUCAGAAUAAAAGACAUAGCUAAUAUAUCUUAUUUUAAAAAAGAAAAAAAUUAAAUUUACUUAUUAUAAUUUGAGUCGAAUAAUAACAUCAAAAUACUAGUAUUCUGAAUAGACUCAAAAAUUGCUCUUCGAAGAAGAGAAAAAGUCAAAACAAUUUGUUUAAGGUUUUCUUGGCCGCUAGAGAAGAACAAACUUUGAAGCUCAAAGUAAAAUAAAGUGCCAAAAUUAUGUGGCAGGUGUGUUUUCUAUUCCAAAUUAAUCAAAACCCAUCCCUCAACAAUCCAACAAGUUAGGAUACAUCUGACGACAACUCAAGGGUUUUAUUGAAGCUCUCAUUACUUAAGUCGCACGCUUCAGCAUGUUCAAUGAGAGACGGACACGUAGACACCAUGAACAAAUUACAAAAGUGCUUCUCUCUCUUCUAGGGUUAUAGUUCUUAAACCCGUAAAACUUUUGGAUUAAGACCUAACACAGGGCGAAAAACCCUAACAAAUACAGUGAACCAAAUUUUCUUCGAUGUCAUGGACAAACAAACAUACCGGUAUUCUAAUCCCACUGGUCCUGGUGCAUGAUAUAAGUGUGGAUGCUUCAUCUUUAUUUGAUUGAAUUAAUGUUAAUUUGCCUAGGCUAUAUCUUAUCCUUUACGUGACCCUUAAGCCAAUCAAAGCUUUAGAAAUAAAGGACAAGAUAUACACUAUUACAUAAAUCGAAACUGUAUUUUCUCAAAGAACAAUGUUAGAUAGUUCAGAUUGGCAAAUGAUGUGUACAUAUCAUGUCAAUUAAUGAAUUUACCUCAUCGUAUGUUAGUUAUGUGAAUCAUUUGCUACAUCAUAUUGUUCACUAAUGUAGUAUAACAAUGUGAUUUCCCUAAUAUUAUUCUUUCUCAAAAAUCGUGGAGUGUUCAAAUGAAUACGCAAGGUGCAAGCAUAUAUAUAUAUAUUAUAUGUCAAAAGUGGAUAACGUACGUUUGCAUGGUGACAUGCAUGAGCCAUCCCAUUUUAAUUGGGUGACAUACAUACAUACAUACAUAUAUAUAUAUAUAUAUAUAUAUAUAUAUAUAUAUAUUAUACUAUGCUAUGAUCAACACAUAAAACAUACGAUAAAUAUAUAUUUUAUUAAGUAAAACUAUUUGGACCAAUCAGAGCAUGUAUAUCUAAAUAGCACCAUUCUAUAUUAUUGCAAGGAUAAAAUAAGUGUGCAUAUCUCAAUCCGAGCAUAUGCCCCGCACGUUAGAGAGUAAAAGUUGGGAAAAUCAUGUUCCGGUCUGUAUAUAGGGCAUGGUUCUUAUUAAGAGAUGUGUAUUAUAUUGUACUUGAUUCAAAACCACAAUCCUAGCGAUUUUUACCUCUCGAAUAUAAAGUUCAAAUGUGAUAAGGGAUUGACUGAUACCAAUCGAGUAUUAAUUUACAAUACCUUUUAUAUUGACAAUAGAUCAACCACUCAAAUACCGACAAUGUAUUAGGUGUUCUGGAUUAUUAUAUCUAGUACCCAAAAAAAUUUCCCAAUACGAAGUUUAAAAGGAUUCAAUUGAAAUUUUGAAAGUGUUUAAAAUUUUAUGAGUAUUCAGUCUAAAUUUUGAACAAGUUUUAUAGAACUCUAUACAAAUCCAAGUGCCUUAAUCAAUUAGAAUUUUAAGAGAUUUUGAAAAAUUCCAUAAAAAUCUUACUAGUACAAUGAGGAUUUUUAAAAAGUAUGAAGGUUCGGGUGUAUAAUCAUGAACUAAUUUUAAUUUUUUUUUAAAUAAUAAUUUUGGUAGAUCUUCCAAGAAUUUCUUAGUUUAUUUUAACCCUUGGCAAAUCAUGCUUCUAUAGAGUCCAUUUAAACCCAUCGAACCUUCAUACAUUUAAACUAUUUCAUGCAUUUAAAAUAGUCUUUUAAAUCCAAAAAGUUGAACCGAAUUAAUCUAUAUUUUUCAAAUAUUAACUAAUACAUGCAACGACUUUAGGUGGUAACAUAAGGGAUGCAUGGCGCAGAAAGUCAUAGACCGGCCAAGAGAUCAUUUCGUCUGAAUCUGUCAAUGUCCGAGAACCCAUACCUCAAGAGCCCUUCCUUAUACAAGACGACACAGUACACAACAACCGCCGCCAAUACCCUUCUCUUCCGCUGCCUAUAAAUACCAACGGAAAUCUCAUGACAUUCUCAUCAAAUUCAAAUCAUCAUCACUUGGAAUACAUCAAAAUCCAUACAUUUCUAGCUACAAACCUAAUUACGUUUCCAAUAUCCCAUCACAUUGCAUUCCUCAAAAAUAUUAUCAGCCUUCAGUUGGGGUUUAUUAUCCUUUGUGACCCUUCUGUUUGUAAUUUGUUCGCUUUGAAAGACGAUUUAUUAGGUGUUUCUAGGCCUUGUGUCAUCUUGCAAUUUCUUUUGGUAGUCCCGUAUCUCACCAAAAAAAAUUAUUACCGACCUUUUGGGUUAUUCUGUCUCUCUUUUACACCAAAAAAGAAAGCAUCAAUGGCUUUACAAACACAUUUGUUAUGGUCAUUUGUUGUUCUUUUUGUUGUUUCCUUUGGUACAACUUCAUGUUAUGGUACUAGUUUCCAGGAGGUCAACUCUCUUCAUAGUUACGUUGACCAUGUUGAUAAAGAGUCUGGCUACAAUUCUAGGGCUUAUCCUUCAUACAUGGACACUAUUGAAGGUUUCAAGUUCAUGGAAUUGAUCAGGCCAAGACCUCAGCUCUUCAGUUCAAGGAAGCUCAACAAAAUCACCAGUGGCAUAGCGACAUCAUCAGCUCCGUCCAAAACGAUUAGCGUUGACGAUUUUGGAGCUAAAGGGAAUGGUGCUGAUGACACACAGGUAUAUACAUUAUACAUGAUGGGCUCAUAGGCUUAAUAAUAUCAGUAUAUUCAUAUGGUGAUGCUAACUGUAACAACCUUCUGGUUGCAUUUCUGUUUAUGUGAAAGAUGUGUCUGUAAUGUUUUGUACAAAUUAGUAGUUAGUAAUGCGUAGGUGUAAUUUGGAUCUAACCCAUUAACGAUUUACCGAUCAGUAAAUGUGAUACAACUAGCAACACUUAAGUGUUUAAUUUGGUUGAACCGAAAAAAUAAAAGUUUAUAUAUGAGUUUGUAUAAUAUUGUUCAAUUUUGUUUCUUUGUAUGUGUUGGUUUAGGCAUUUGUGAAGGCAUGGAAGGCAGCUUGUUCUUCCAGUGGAGCAAUAGUUCUUGUGGUGCCACAGAAAAGCUAUCUUGUUGGGCCAAUUGAAUUCUCAGGCCCCUGCAAAUCUCGACUUACAAUGCAGGUAAUUAUUAAUUCAGAUAAUUUGUGUGUUAUCUAUAUGUGAAUGUGAAUUUGAACUAUAAAUUUUGAAGAUUAUAAUUAACUAAUAUUGCUUAAAUAUUUGGACAAAUUCAGAUUUAUGGAACCAUAGAAGCAUCAGAAAACCGAUCAAUCUACAAAGACCUAGACCACUGGCUCAUGUUUGACAACGUCCAAAACGUACUAGUUGUUGGUCCUGGAACCAUCAAUGGCAAUGGAAACAUAUGGUGGAAAAACUCAUGCAAAAGAAAGCCUCAGGUACGUAUGUACUAAUUAAUCAAAUUAUUAGCUUUAAUUAAUACUAAUCAUGUACUAAUUACAAUCUCCUUCAUUGAUUUACAGCCCCCUUGCGGUAAACAAGCCCCCACGGUACGUGUAUAUACGUACUUUUAAUCUAAAUUUUUAUGUGAAUUUUGAUUAAUGAAGCACGAUUAAGUUUGGAACUAAUUAAGGUUGUACAUGCAAUCUGCAGGCUGUGACCUUCAACAGGUGCAAUAACUUGGUGGUGAAGAAUCUGAAGAUCCAAGACGCUCAACAAAUGCAUGUUAGAUUCCAAAACUGCUUCAAUGUUCAAGCUUCCCGUCUCACAGUAACUGCACCUGAGGAUAGCCCCAAUACUGAUGGAAUUCAUGUUACAAAUACCCAGAACAUCACUAUCUCGAGCUCGGUUAUAGGAACAGGUGUGACAUAGCUCGUGAUGCUUUCAUCAUUUUGGUAUUUCGCGUUCGAAAAAUACAUAUGAUCAUCUAUACAUUAAGAUAAAAAAAAUUAAUCCAUAUUAUACAUAAGUUUAACAACAAUUUCUUCAUUUGUGUUUUGAAGGUGAUGACUGUAUUUCUAUUGUAAGUGGGUCUCAAAGAGUUCAAGCCAGAGACAUAACUUGUGGGCCAGGCCAUGGAAUCAGGUAAUUUACAACCCUAGUCUCAAACUUCUUCAAAAAGUCAUUCUGCAAUUUCUCUCGUCAACAUAUAAUCAAUGAUUAUUUUCGUAGAGAGAAGUGUGAGAUGACUUUUUUAUAGUGCUAAUAACAGCUAACCAGUAAAUAUUUCAAUAUAUAUUAAUGGUGGUUUUAAUUUUGUGAUCAGUAUUGGUAGCUUGGGAAAAGACGGCUCAAUAGACCAUGUUUCAGGAGUAUUUGUGAAUGGAGCUAAACUUUCAGGAACCGCCAAUGGACUCAGGAUCAAGACAUGGCAGGGAGGCUCAGGCAGUGCAACCAACAUUGUUUUCCAGAAUGUGCAAAUGAAUGAUGUCACCAACCCCAUCAUAAUCGACCAGAACUACUGUGACCACAUAACCAAAGACUGCAAACAACAGGUAAUAUUAACCAACUAAUUAGUUUCUAAUCAUUCCGUUAAUUUAUCCGGCGACGAAACCCUAAUAACUUUCUUGAUCGUUUAACUUUGUUAUGGCAGAAAUCGGCGGUUCAAGUGAAAAAUGUGUUGUACCAAAACAUUAGAGGAACAGGUGUUAUCGGCGACGCGAUAACGUUUAACUGUAGCCAAAGUGUUCCUUGUCAGGGGAUUGUGCUGCAAAAUAUUCAACUGCAGAAUGGAAGAGCUGAAUGCAACGAUGUUCAGCCUGCUUACAAAGGAGUUGUCUCUCCAAGAUGUUAAAAACUAGAGCUCAUAAUUAAGGGCAUUGUGAAAUAGUUUAUGCAUUCUUGUACCAAAUAGCACAUAAAUAAUUGUUUGUUGGUUGGUUUGUAAUUUUAUGUUUAAUUUGUCAUGUACAUAAACAUAUUCAUAAAGAAAAAGAUACAACCGUGUCUACUUUGUUGGAAGAAGUUCUGCGUUCAAAUAUUGUGAACAAAUGUUGAUAAAAAUAGAAAACAAAGAAAGUUCGAGUCAACUUGGCCCGACUAGCCUAACCCGAGUAACCUCUCUCCGACGAGAGAGCCUUCCAACCAAGGUUUCUCCACCAUAAGGCUCGAAUCGUUACUGUAUUUUGGCUGUGGCCGGGAUUCCUUAUAUCUCUACUUGUAUCCCAGCCGUAUGACACAGCCUGAGAAUGGUUAACUCAACCUUGUCUGAAAUCGGAUUUUCAUUUUCAUUGUCUAAGAGGGCGUGUGUGGAUGGGAAAGAAGUUCGAAGUUGACAGAAAUGAAAGGUUUGCACAAAUGUACGUGUGGCUAUCUGAAGGGUUCAACAGGAGCAGACUCUUCGAGAGAGAGUGCAGCCUUGAAACAUUCAGCAGCCUCUAAUGAAGAAGAUGGCUUACCCUGAGAUUUGUACAGUAUACCAAGGUUAUACCAUGCAGAAUGGUUCGAUCUAUCAAGGUUUAGUGCAUUCAACAGAAGGCUUCGGAUAACUGUGUGAGAGUGGUGUGAGCUGCCGCCAAGAUGUCUGAGGACAACAGCCGUAGAGAUCAAGCUCAGUACAUGGGAGGGGUCAAUAUCCAGAGCUUCUGAAUAUGCUCUUAGAGAUUCUUUAUAGAGGCCCUUCCUUUCAUGAAGUAAACCUGCAAAAUGCACGAAGUUCCACAUGAUUAGAGCAGCAAAAGUUUCCGCAAACACAAAUAUACAUAAAUCCACUUGUUUCUUUCACAAUUGUUAAUGCUUUAAAACCACGAUAACAAAUUAAUUAGUGAGCGAUCUAAUCCUUACUAGACAAGGAAAAUAGAACACUUUAUCAAGAUAUUGAUUACAAAAAGAAAAAAAAAAGAACACAAACACGGUGAUUGUCUGAUUAUACCUGUGGCAUGGCAUCUGUCAGCAGAGUAAGCACUUCUGGAUUUAGAUUUGGCCAGACAAGCCUCAGCAUCACGCCAUUGUGAAAGAUUUAUAUAGAAAUAUGCCAGGUCAUUCCAUAUUUCCAAGUUCAACCUUCCAGAUAAAUCUCUGGUACUCUGUCAUUAACAAAACAAACACGAUUAAUUGCAGUUGAACAAUAUUAUCUGUAAAAUCAUAUCAACGAGAGAUGUCUAAGCUAACAAAAACUGUGUUUAGAAAACAGAUGCAUAAUUAUCCCAACGUUAAUGUCAGUGUAUCAAAAGAAGAUAAUUUCGUGACCAAACACUCACAUCCUAAUCUGAGGACAUGAUUUAUACGCCUACUUCUCCUAUUCCUUUCAAUGAAAAGCUUCAUAAAAAUUUGUAUGAAUAUGAUAUUUCAACUUAGCUGUUAUUCCCUUUCGUUCUCUCAUCACAUCAAGGUUCCAGCAUGCUAACUGGUUGUAAAACCCUUAUUACUAUCAUUUGGUCAGAGACUCAGAGGUUCACGAGUAGCGAUGAUCAUUCCAAAGAAUAAUUUCAGUAUCCAAGGUAUAUGAAAAAAAAUAUCUACUCCCUAAACCGUUGUACAGAUAAAAAAAAAAGGAACCCUGUCUUUCAAAUAGUUUGAUUCAAAUAAAUGUGAAAAUUAAUCAAAUGAUGUCCCUUUGGAAGCUUCUUCCCGUAACCAAAGCUUUUAUUCUCAACUUGAACAAAAGCAAGAAUGUGAGUAUAGGUUGCAAUGGCAUUUUUAAACUGACCCUGGGCAAUUUGAAGUUUGGCUUUGGUUCUCAGUAGUUCUCCUUGUUCCCAUUUCCCUGUCUGAUCCAAAGCAGCCUCUAUGAUCGUUUCAGCAUCCACAAACCGUUUCUGAGCUGACAGUAUUCUGGUCAAUAAUAACCAACCUCUAACAUUACAACCACCUUCCAGCUUUAGCAUUUUCUUUGCACAAUCAAGUGCAGCAUCCAACUCUCUCUGCUCAGCAUAUUCUAGGCUGAGAUGGUAAAGAAAAACAGGGUCACUCAUUGUUGUCAUUCUCCCAGAAGUUUCCAAGGCCUGACGUGCCUCAUCCUGUCUUGUCACUCUCUCACAAUCAGCAAUCGCUGAUUUAGAAUGCACAGAAAGUGAUAUGCCCAACAAACAAGUGGUGGUACUUUUCAAAUGAUCACAUUUACCAUCCAAACUUUCAAGGGCUCUGCAGGCAAAUCCUACCCCUUCUUCUGCAUGACGGGGACUGGGAUUUUCCCCACAUAUCUUCGAUGCCAAUAACAAAGCUGGAAAACACAUUGGAUCCUCGCUCUUAAUCAACAGUUUCCUCAGUAAAUCUAAAGCAACUGAAUCCUCACCUGCUCCAUAGUAGCAGAGAGCUAGCUUGUAAAACCUUUAUUUCCGAUCCAUAAACCCAGGUAGCAGUUCUUCAACUUGAUUAGCUAAAGCCAUGGUAUCCCCUGCUACAGACAGAGCAAACGAAAGAUGAUCUAAGAUUGAUGGAUCCCAUUGAAUUUUUUGAAGAGAAACUUUUCUAAGUAGUAUCAUUAGCAGAAGAAUAGCUUCUUCUAUACUGUUUCUGGGUAUGAAUGAACUGUCCAUUUGGAAGCGUAGCUUUGGGGCGCUUGCUUCACACCCACUAUACAGAAGCAAAACAGCAAAGUCCUUCUGAAUCUUUGCAGUAGUUUCAACCUCAAGGUUCCGGUUAUGGAGUAAAGCUCGUCGGUAAGACAAGAUAGCUUCAUGGAGACAAUCAGACAAUUUCCACAAUUCUGGGAGCAACUCAACAUUCUUGCUUAUAAUCUCCUGCAAUUUACAGUCAGCGCCAAAGUUUUGAGGCAAGCCAUCUGGAAAUGAAGAUUCAACAAUGUCCAGAACAACUUUGCAAGACUGAGCAGCUUCUGCAAGAAUGAUUAAAAAUAUACAUAAGCCAUGCAGUGAUGGCCUGAUUUCAAGCAAAGUACACAUAUUCCUUUGUUCAUUUUACCCAUCCUAGAAUCCUAGGUAAAACACUCAAGACAAUGGUGAAGCAUAACAGAACAUUAUUUUAAACUGAAUUGGUUUGACGGUGACAACAUUACAAAAUGUCACAAAACAUAUUUAUAUUCUGCAAACAAGAAUGAAAAUGUGUAAAUGCGCUUAUUACCUUUAAACCUCCCAAUAGCCUCCAAUGAUUUUGCCUUCAGAAAUAUCGCUUCAAGAAGUAAAGUAACAGCAUUCAUAGACAACGGCGGAGUAGAAAAACUUUGAGAGCGCCUUUUACGACGCUCACCUCCUCUGGCAAGGGUGAUUUUUAUCUUCGGAGUCAAUGCACCAAUAUCUAUUGCUUCAAAUACAUGUAAAGCAGCUUCUAUGUUUCCUUUCUGAUAUUCGUAUCUUCCUAAUAGCGCUCUUGCUUCCUGAAAAUUCAAAAUUUAUACCUUAAAUUAAACAAACAACUUCCAAGGUCACCGUUAAAAAGAUUACAUAGCUACAGAUAGUCAGGUUCUAGAAAACAAACCUCAUAGUUCAAACAGCCACUCUCACGCAGAGAUGAUUCAGCUUCUUCUAUAUUGCCAGCUUUCAGUUUCUUUGUAGCCUCCCCAGCUCGCGACGAAGAUUCACUUGAUUUAUGAUCCUUGGUUGCAAUGGAUUCAUUUUCUGGAGGAACCAUUUCAUCUGCCGUUCUUAAUUGCUCUCCUGAACGGAAACACUUCAGUACCUUUCUAAAUUUCGAAGAAGGUUUACCCCUCCUCCCUGUUUCACUACUCCCCCUCUUCAUAAUGCUUCACUAUGCUCCAAAAUCUUAAACCACCAAAACCACCACCAACAAUAACUCAGGAACUUUUAUACGUAAAAUCGAAAUACAACGUUUAACUUGUAACUAUUAGACCAUGAUCAAAUUAAGAUAAAUAAUCAAUCACGCAAUCAAACACUAAACCUCGAACUUUUGCACAUAAUUACGAUAAUCACAACUAACUAAUCCUGCAUAUAACCACAUUUCCAACACUGGAAAAAUAACAUACUUACUAAUCAAAAUUAACAUACAGAAAAUUCAAGAGCAAUGAUAAACACUUAAAUUUAGAAAAAUUCAAUACCAAGACCCUAACUUUAUCAAUCACCAUAUGACAACACCAAUAAAAACAAAACCCCAUUAAUCCCACUUCAGAAACUCCAACAGCAUCAUCCAAUUCCCGCCCCCCACCCAACAAAACCCCUCAAUUGGCACCAUCCAGGACCAAAAGUCGAAACUUCACCAUAAAUUUCCAACACCACAGCCAAAACGACAAUCCCAAACCCAAGAAAUUGAUAAAAACGACCUUUAAUUGUACAAAACCCCGAUAAAAAAAGCAAUCAAUCACCAAUCACCUUUCGUUUUUGCAAAGCAGAAAAGCAGAGGAGGCCAAUGCAUUACUCCCACUACAGUUUGAUUCCAAUUCCCUUUCUACCCUUCUGAUUGCUUGCUUCGGAGUGUGAUUUGGGGAAGACAAGGGCAUUGAAAUUUUUUGAAUUGGAAGCGUGCGGUUGAAGAUUUUGCCGAGGGUUAAGAAAUUGAGGGAUUUAGAAUUAAAGAAAUAAAAGAAAGUUGGGGGUUUUUGGAAGUUGUAUGCAUAUGGGACGGAACGGGACGGUAAGGAACCGAGAGGAGAGGGAGUAAAAAUGUUCUCGGAUGGAAACAGGAGUAAGAAGAAGACGGAGAUGUUAUAACUUUGUGUUCUACGGAUGUGGGAUGUGGAACGAGUCGUUCCAAGGAGGUGAGACGGAAUGAAAAUUCACCCAAAAUUUGUCAUGUGAAACAACGCGUUCCACCCAUUUUAAACUCACCAAACGUAGGAUGGAAUGUCUCGUUCCAUUCUAUUCCAUCUCAUCCCACGUACCAAAUGAUACCAAAGACCCGCCGGUGUAGAAUCUAUUUACUUUUUACCACGGCGGCUGAGGCUCAUUGUUCGCCACGUGGAAAAACGGUGGCGUUUUAUGACGCGUCGUUGGCGUUAAACGGGAUUAACAACACCAUUCCAAAGCCGGCUGUUAUUUCUCAUUCUUAACAUUCUUUCCCGCUAAUUUUCUUACGUAUCUUCUAGAUUACGUUGAUGAAGGGUUAGACACAUUGUCCUAACUCAAAUUAUCAAACGUAUAUACUAUUUAAACACACAAAAUUAAUUUUAGGUUGAAUGUCGUAUUUUAAUAUCGUUUUAUAGUAGACAGUCAAUGUGUUGAGUUGACAAUCUAUGUACUUUUACAAAACUCAAUAUAUGUAUUCAACAUGUUAUGUUUAAACAAUUUGAUACGUGAGGAAGUAUAUUGAAAGUAAGAAUCUCAUCAAUAGGUAAACAAUAUAUUUAACUAUGGUCAGAUUCGCUAAUGUAUGCAACAUAUACUCGUUGCACCAGGGCCGGCCCUAAGUAUUGAGGGGCCCUAUGCAAAAUUUAGAUGGAUGCCCUUCAUUUUUUUUAUAAUUAUUUUUUUCAAUUUUUUCAUCUAUAGAACUAAACUAUUACUAGUUACUACAACAAAAAUAAGUUGUUUGAUCGGCUAUGUAUUUUUCCUUACCUUCAAAGGUCCUGAGUUCGAUACAUGUUGGAUGCGUUUUUGUUAUCUUCUUUUUAAGUUUACAAAUUUGCAAAAACUUAUAAUAGCAAAACAAUAUCAUAGGGAUUCGAACACAGCACAAGGUAUAUAAGGAAAAAGAGCUAAACCGCUAGCACUAGAACCACAUAUAUAAUUGUUUUUUGCAUCUAAUCUAUUUUAUAUGCAUCUGUAUACAUGUAAUGAAAAUUUGGGAGCCCUUCUGAAUCGGGGCCCUGUGCGGUGGCACCUGUUGCACACCUUCAGGGUCGACUCUGCGUUACACAUAAGUAGUAAUUAAUUAGCACAAAUUUGAAUUUCAAUACCGAAUUUCUUUUUGUCGUCUUGCAUGCAUCUGUUUAUUUAUUUAUUUAUUUUUUAAAUAACUAUUAUUUUAUUAAGGAAAAGGGGAUGACUCAAAAUUAUUACAAUAAUUUAAAGAAUGAGGAGUUUCGAAUAUGAGACGCAUAGAUAUAAACCCAACAUCCUAUCCACUAGGAUAUUGGACCACAUGCUUAUAUUUUUUUUUGUACAACAACCCACACCCAAGACUUUGUUACAACUUACAAGUUUCAAAGGGCAAGAGGGAAUUCGAACUCUGAUCUUGAGUAUAGAGGAAAAUAUUACCUGCCAUUAGAGCUAAACACUUCGGUCUUGCAUGCCUCUGUUUGUCAUUUGAUUCACUUUUGAUUUAUUCAUCCUUGUGAUUACAAACAAGAAGAGUAGGGCAACGAAUUUUAAAGAAAAAAAAGUGCGAAAAUCAAUCCUUUUAUUUUCAACACUAUAGUAUAUUAACAUCCUAACUACGAUGCAAUACUACUUUGUCAUCCUUCCAAGCACUAUAAAGUUAAGACUAUAGUUUUUUUUCUCUCUUCAUUUCAAACCAAACUUAAUUCGCUCAUUCGCUACUUAUAAAAUAAAUUUGUAUAGAAUAUUGAAAAGAGGUUAUAAAUUUGAAUCUCUCAACUUUGUUUAUUUCAAAUCGAGAAAUUAAAAUAAAAAUCUACUUACGAUUCUAAUUAAGUAUAUAUGUUCCUCAUAUCAAAACAAAGUUAUUUCUCUUUUGAGAGUAACCUAAUCCAUUAGUUAUUUCGUUAGCAUGUUAUAUUUUUAUUAAUUUCAAUUCAUUUAUGUUAAUAUAUCUCAAGUUCCAUAUCCUAUUUGGAAUAUUACUUUUAUGUGACAACUAAUCAUAUUCAAAUUGGACUACCCCUUUCACAAAGUAUAAACUUUCAAGAGUGCAUUGCACUUAGAAAAAGUCGUAACAAAGUUCAUGUUUUUGCCUACAACAACCCUACACCUAAGAUUUUGUUACAAGUGAGAUCAAACGGCGAGAGGAGAUUCGAACUCCGAUCUUGAGUGUAGCAGUAAAUAUUUCUAAUUAUUACAGCUCAAUAUGCUUUGUAAAAGUCAAAUUUAAUUGAACUUAACCAAAUUAUCAUAAUCUUUUCCUCUUAUUCAAUUGUAGUAUCACGAAUCGAAGACAAUCGUUUGCCACAUCGGAUGGUGUGAGUGAAAUCAUUUUUAGACAAUAUGAAGCACGUGGCACAAAAACUUACAUUAAAUUGGGGUUAAACAGGGGAAUUGGAUUCCAUCCGGAUCAAUUCCUACAUCUUAGUCAUUCAUCGUGUAUCGUGUGGUUAUAAAUAAUUCGAUUUAAAAUUAAACACAAAUAUUAUCUGACGAAAAUUGACCGUACAAUAUAACUAUAAACGGCUAAGAUGUGAGAAUCCUUAAAAUUCCCACAAAAUGGAUAUGGAGAGGAUCCCUUUCCUUAAACAGAAUCUAAUCCAAACCUUUUUUGACCUGCCAACUCCUAGCCUCCAUAUAAAGCAUAGGGGUAUUUACGUCAUUCUUUACAUCCGGGCAUUCUCGUAGUUUCUUGUACAAUCAUGGGCAAUCCUUCAACUCCACAUCUAUAAAUAUAGAGAACCCAACCCCUUCUCCCAUUCCUCAAUCAUAUUUGUUUUCCCCUCUCUCAGUUCUUCUCUCUCUCCUCAAUCUUUCUCUCUCUAGCUUCUCUCUUCGAUACAAUCUUUCUCCAGAUUCCGGCCACUUUGCCGUACGUCCGGCCACUUUCCCGUACGGCCUCUCCUCUCCCACCCAAAUCUUAUCUUCUUUUUUUCUUUUAAUUUAAAUUUUUUGUUUAUUUGUUUGGUGGGUCCUGAAUUUUUUUAAAUUCCCUCUUUUGUCCCAGAGUCAGUUUCCUUUUUGCUGUGAAGUCACCGUUUUACCCCUCAAUCGGUGACGUUUUGGUUUUUACUCCCAAAAACUUUUAUUUUUAAUCGGAUUUGUUAUCCUUCUUGGGUUGGAUUUGUGGUCCAUUUUUUUAUGAACUGCUGCUGCACACGUGGCAUGCACACAGAGAGCGAUCAUAUGAACACCAAAACGAUGCGUUUGCCACCUCGUCGGAUUUCGACGACCAAUGCGUCAAAUAAUACCAACAGCAACAACAAGCGCAAGGAGAAGGAGGGUGACUUCGACGCGCUCCAGCGGACCAAGACGCUCAAGCUGUCCCCACCACCCCAAGCCAAGCCGUCCGAGCCAGCCCAGCCGCCCGGUCAGCUCCUGGCUGGCUAUCUGGCGCACGAGUUCCUCACCAGGGGCAGCCUCCUCGGGCAGCCGUGGGACCCGUCCCGAGCCGAGCCGGCUCCUUCGGGAGUCAGCAGCAGCAAGAUCGAAGCCGAGCCGAAGUUCGAGAGCUUGGAGAGAUACGUGGAAGUCGCUGAUUUGCUGAAAACGGAGGGGGCCCACUUGGCUGGCGUUGUGAAUCCAACUCAGCUCGCUGGGUUUUUACAGUUGUGAGGCAAAGGAGAGCUUUGUGGGGGACGCGCGGAGUGCAAGGAUUAAAAAUCCAUCUGGCAUUUUUGGCUCCAAAUAUGGAAAUUAGGAUUUCUGUAGGGGGCAAAAUGCAAAAGAAAAAAUGUUUAGUAGUUGCAGGGGCUUUUAGGUAGGCAUUGCUUUAUGAAUGUGUGUCUCUCUCUUGUCAUCCAAAUGUAUUAUAAAAUGUCCUCUUGUCAUCCAAAUGUAUGAUAAAAUGUCAUUUCAAUUUAACAGAUCGUUUUUU
rnacentral:lncRNA from 1 species